AUGUUGUUCAAGCUCUGGGGUGAAAGAUGUUUAGCUUUCUUUCAACUUCUCAGAUCUUCUCACCACACGCAUGCACAACUCCUGCUGCAGAAACACAUGGCUGCUGUCACUGCGGCCUGUGUGCGCGGCACCUGCUGCUCCCCUUGUGCCACCAGCACCGCUCAGGUGUCAGAAAUCAGCAGACAGUUGUUGCUGAAAGUCUUCUCCACUAGAACAAGGAUUUCUAAUCUUUUUACUCUAGCUGACACUCAGGUUUUAUCCUUUAAAGGACAACAUAACAAAUUGCAAUGUGUGACCAUCGUGUUGCCCAAAGCCAGGUCCUGUGAGACCCACCCGCCUCAACCCCUCCAGCAGCCCAGGCUCUGAAGGGACAGAUGGAAUUCUUCCCCCAACCCACCCAAAACCCAUCAGCUUCUGGGGCUCAUAAGGGCUAGUUGGACAUCUCACUCCUUCCCUCUCAAAGCCCAGAAUUCCUGAGUGCCAUAAAUGGUAUUCAUUUGCCUGGAUGGGAAAAAUAAACUGAUGGGUUUAGGUUUUUUUUUUUCUUUG
rnacentral:lncRNA from 1 species